UACGUAGGGGGCAAGCGUUGUCCGGAUUUAUUGGGCGUAAAGAGCGUGUAGGCGGCUUGGUAGGUCCGCUGUGAAAACUCGAGGCUCAACCUCGAGCUGUCGGUGGAAACCGUGUGGCUAGAGUCCGGAAGAGGAGACUGGAAUUCCCGGUGUAGCGGUGGAAUGCGCAGAUAUCGGGAGGAACACCCGUGGCGAAGGCGGGUCUCUGGGACGGUACUGACGCUGAGACGCGAAAGCGUGGGGAGCGAACAGG
rnacentral:rRNA from 1 species